UGAUCCAGCCAUGCCGCGUGUGUGAAGAAGGCUUUCGGGUUGUAAAGCACUUUCAGCGAGGAAGAAGGCCUGACGGUUAAUACCUGUCAGGAAGGACAUCACUCGCAGAAGAAGCACCGGCUAACUCCGUGCCAGCAGCCGCGGUAAUACGGAGGGUGCAAGCGUUAAUCGGAAUUACUGGGCGUAAAGCGCGCGUAGGUGGCUUGAUAAGCCGGUUGUGAAAGCCCCGGGCUCAACCUGGGAACUGCAUCCGGAACUGUCAGGCUAGAGUGCAGGAGAGGAAGGUAGAAUUCCCGGUGUAGCGGUGAAAUGCGUAGAGAUCGGGAGGAAUACCAGUGGCGAAGGCGGCCUUCUGGACUGACACUGACACUGAGGUGCGAAAGCGUGGGUAGCAAACAGGAUUAGAUACCCUGGUAGUCCACGCCGUAAACGAUGUCGACUAGCCGUUGGGAGCCUCGAGUUCUUAGUGGCGCAGUUAACGCAAUAAGUCGACCGCCUGGGGAGUACGGCCGCAAGGUUAAAACUCAAAUGAAUUGACGGGGGCCCGCACAAGCGGUGGAGCAUGUGGUUUAAUUCGAUGCAACGCGAAGAACCUUACCUACUCUUGACAUCGUGCGAACUUUCCAGAGAUGGAUUGGUGCCUUCGGGAGCGCACAGACAGGUGCUGCAUGGCUGUCGUCAGCUCGUGUUGUGAAAUGUUGGGUUAAGUCCCGUAACGAGCGCAACCCCUAUCCUUAUUUGCCAGCGAGU
rnacentral:rRNA from 1 species